GAUAAGAAAUAUGAAAAAUGUGGAAGAACCAUCAAUAGCGGAGGACAUAAGAUGCGUGGAGCCUCCUAUUUCCUUCCUCUCUAACCUCUCCUUGGAUGAAAGAUAUGAGGAACAUGAAAAGACUAUCAAGUGGGCUUUGCAAGCAUCUCUCCUCUCUCAAACAGUCAUAUAUUUUACAGUUGCCGGAUGUUGAGAAUAUCCCACUGUCUUCUGCAUUUGGCAAAAUCUCUCCCGGUGAUCAAAUGCAAACAUUGUUGAGAUUUAUCUGUAUCACGAUGUCAAUUCUCGAGGUCUACAUUCAAAGUCAAACGAAGCAGCUUUCGUACCUCCAACAACAGCAGCGACUGAAGAGAUGCAAAAAAUGGGGUUUUCGAGUUGGCAGAUUACAAUCCAUUUCAAUCUGAUUUCCUUGUCGAAGUUAACAGUUCAUCUUUAUUCUAUUUAACUUCCCACGUCAUCUCAGAGAACAUUUUCUUUUUCUUUGUCGCGAAGGAAAGACCGAGAGGAGCAAU